rfam:Dipodomys ordii contig_66383, whole genome shotgun sequence.
GGGAAUGUGGCUUAGUUGGUAGAGUGCUUGCCUUGCAUGCAUGAAGCCCUGGGUUCAAUUCCUCAGUACCA